AUGCACGCUGGCGGCGUGCCUAAUACAUGCAAGUCGCGCGAACGGACGAGAAGCUUGCUUCUCUGAUGUUAGCGGCGGACGGGUGAGUAACACGUGGAUAACCUACCUAUAAGACUGGGAUAACUUCGGGAAACCGGAGCUAAUACCGGAUAAUAUUUUGAACCGCAUGGUUCAAAAGUGAAAGGCGGUCUUGCUGUCACUUAUAGAUGGAUCCGCGCUGCAUUAGCUAGUUGGUAAGGUAACGGCUUACCAAGGCAACGAUGCAUAGCCGACCUGAGAGGGUGAUCGGCCACACUGGAACUGAGACACGGUCCAGACUCCUACGGGAGGCAGCAGUAGGGAAUCUUCCGCAAUGGGCGAAAGCCUGACGGAGCAACGCCGCGUGAGUGAUGAAGGUCUUCGGAUCGUAAAACUCUGUUAUUAGGGAAGAACAUAUGUGUAAGUAACUGUGCACAUCUUGACGGUACCUAAUCAGAAAGCCACGGCUAACUACGUG
rnacentral:rRNA from 1 species